rnacentral:rRNA from 1 species
GACGAACGCUGGCGGCGUGCUUAACACAUGCAAGUCGAACGAAAAGGCGCUGCUUUUGUUGGGUGCUCGAGUGGCGAACGGGGGAGUAACACGUGAGUAACCUGCCCUUGACUUUGGGAUAACUUCAGGAAACUCGGGCUAAUACCGGAUAUGAGAUCCUGCUGCGUGGUGUGGGUUGGAAAGUUUCGGCGGUUGGGGAUGGACUCGCGGCUUAUCAGCUUGUUGGUGGGGUAGUGGCUUACCAAGGGUGUGACGGGUAGCCGGCCUGGGAGGGGGACCGGCGACAAUGGGACUGCGAGACGGACCAGAAUCGUACGGUAGGCAGCAGUGGAGAAUAUGGCAGAAUGGGCGGAAGUCUGAUGCAGCGACGCCGCGUGCGUGAUGACGGCCUUCGGGUUGUAAACAGCUUUCGCCGGUGACGAAGCGUGAGUGACGGUAACGGGUAAAGAAGCACCGGCUAACUACGUG